rnacentral:rRNA from 1 species
GAUGAACGCUGGCGGCGUGCUUAACACAUGCAAGUCGAGCGAUGAAAGCCUUAUGAACUAUUCGUAGUGAUUGGGGCCGGAUUAGCGGCGGACGGGUGAGUAACGCGUGAGCAACCUGCCUUAAACAACGGGAUAGCCUCGGGAAACCGGGAUUAAUACCGUAUGAGACCCCGCCUUCACAUGAAGAAGAGGUUAAAGAUUUAUCGGUUUGAGAUGGGCUCGCGUCUGAUUAGCUAGUUGGUGAGAUAAAAGCCCACCAAGGCAACGAUCAGGAACCGGCAUGAGAGAGUGAACGGUCACAUUGGAACUGAGAUACGGUCCAAAGUCCUACGGGAGGCAGCAGUGGGGAAUAUUGCGCAAUGGGGGAAACCCUGAUGCAGCGACGCCGCGUGAGCGAUGAAGGAAUUCGUUUCGUAAAGCUCUGUCCAAGGGGAAGAUAAUGACAGUACCCUUGGAGGAAGCCCCGGCUAAAUACGUGCCAGCCGCCGCAGUAACAC